GAUGAACGCUAGCGGCAGGCUUAAUACAUGCAAGUCGAGGGACAGCACAGGUAGCAAUACUGGGUGGUAACCGGCAAACGGGUGCGGAACACGUACACAACCUUCCUUUAAGUGGGGGAUAGCCCAGAGAAAUUUGGAUUAAUACCCCGUAAUAUAGUUGAAUGGCAUCAUUUGAUUAUUAUAGCUACGGCGCUUAAUGAUGGGUGUGCGGCUGAUUAGAUAGUUGGCGGGGUAACGGCCCACCAAGUCUACGAUCGGGAGCUGAUGGGAGAGCAGGAUCAGCGAGACGGGAACUGAGACACGGGCCCGACUCCUACGGGAGGCAGCAGUAAGGAAUAUGGGUCAAUGGACGCAAGUCUGACCCAGCCAUGCCGCGUGAAGGAUUAAGGUCCUCUGGAUUGUAAACUUCUUUUAUUUGGGACGAAAAAGGGCCUUUCUAGGUCAACUGACGGUACCAGAUGAAUAAGCACCGGCUAACUCCGUGCCAGCCGCCGCCGUAAUAC
rnacentral:rRNA from 1 species